rnacentral:rRNA from 1 species
GAUCAGCUCAGGAUGAACGCUAGCUACAGGCUUAACACAUGCAAGUCGAGGGGCAUCAGUUUGGUUUGCUUGCAAACCAAAGCUGGCGACCGGCGCACGGGUGAGUAACACGUAUCCAACCUGCCUCAUACUCGGGGAUAGCCUUUCGAAAGAAAGAUUAAUAUCCGAUAGCAUAUAUUUCCCGCAUGGGUUUUAUAUUAAAGAAAUUCGGUAUGAGAUGGGGAUGCGUUCCAUUAGUUUG